rnacentral:rRNA from 1 species
UAGGGAAUCUUCCGCAAUGGGCGAAAGCCUGACGGAGCAACGCCGCGUGAGUGAUGAAGGUCUUAGGAUCGUAAAACUCUGUUAUUAGGGAAGAACAAACGUGUAAGUAACUGUGCACGUCUUGACGGUACCUAAUCAGAAAGCCACGGCUAACUACGUGCCAGCAGCCGCGGUAAUACGUAGGUGGCAAGCGUUAUCCGGAAUUAUUGGGCGUAAAGCGCGCGUAGGCGGUUUUUUAAGUCUGAUGUGAAAGCCCACGGCGCAACCGUGGAGGGUCAUUGGAAACUGGAAAACUUGAGUGCAGAAGAGGAAAGUGGAAUUCCAUGUGUAGCGGUGAAAUGCGCAGAGAUAUGGAGGAACACCAGUGGCGAAGGCGACUUUCUGGUCUGUAACUGACGCUGAUGUGCGAAAGCGUGGGGAUCAAACA